rnacentral:tRNA from 1 species
AGUUUAUUAUUAUAAGUAAGUAAGUUGAAUUUCCAAUUCAAAAGUUUAAGGAUAAAUUA